UACGAAGGGGGCUAGCGUUGUUCGGAAUUACUGGGCGUAAAGGGCGCGCAGGCGGCUCUUCAAGUCAGAUGUGAAAGCCCCGGGCUCAACCUGGGAACUGCAUUUGAGACUGGAGAGCUUGAGUUCGGGAGAGGAGAGCGGAAUUCCCAGUGUAGAGGUGAAAUUCGUAGAUAUUGGGAAGAACACCGGUGGCGAAGGCGGCUCACUGGACCCACCACUGACGCUGAUGCGCGAAAGCUAGGGGGAGCAAACAGGG
rnacentral:rRNA from 1 species